ensembl:snoRNA
AGCCUUCUGUAGUUUGUAAGCAUGAUGAUUGGGCCUUCACACCAUUCACAUGUGCCUUCCUCAAACCUUGUUACAACCUCGGCACAUUGGUUGUCUGGAC